UACGAAGGGGGCUAGCGUUGCUCGGAAUCACUGGGCGUAAAGGGUGCGUAGGCGGUCGGGUAAGUCUGACGUGAAAUCCCGCAGCUCAACUGCGGAACUGCGUCGGAUACUAUUCGGCUUGAGGAAUGGAGGGGAGACUGGAAUUCUCGGUGUAGCAGUGAAAUGCGUAGAUAUAGGAAGGAACACCAGUGGCGAAGGCGACCACCUGGACUGAUACUGACACUGAGGUGCGAAAGCGUGGGGAGCAAACAGG
rnacentral:rRNA from 1 species